GGAUAACAUGGGCCGAGUCCACGCUGACAGGAGCCUGGUCUCCUCAGGACCUGCCGGGAGGUGAUGCCGCUGAGGGAGAAGGCCGCACUGCACAGCAUGGGGGACCCUAGUUCCCUGACCAGGGAUUGAACCCACACCUCCUGCAGUGGAAUCGCAAAUUCCCAACCACUGGACUGCCAGGGAAGUCGCUGUCCUUUAUUAUAAAAAGAAAAAAGAAAGGCCUGGAAAAAUGCUCAACAUUAGGAAUUAUUAAAGACAUGCAAAUCCAAUCUGCAAAAACGUAUCAGCUCACACCAGUCAGAAUGACCAUCAGCAAAAAUUCUGCAAACACUAAGUGCCGAAGGGGUUGUGGAGAGAUGCGUACCCUCAGCUCUAAAUGGGACGUAAAGUGGUAAGAGCCACUAAUGAAAACAGAAUGGAGGUGCCCUUAAAAGGUAAACUUUGAGCUACCAUAUGCUGGGCCUAUAACCGAAGAAGACAGAAUCGGAAAGACACAGGCAGGCAAAACUGCACUGCAGCAGUAUUACAAUAGCCAAGUCAUGGAAGCAACCAAAAAGUCCAUCAACAGAUGAGUAGACAAGGAAGAACUGGUACAUGUACAGAUGCAAUAUUAGCCAAGGAAAAAAAUGAAACAAUGCCGUUUGCAGCACCAUAGAUGAGUCUAGAGGUAUUCACACAACUUGAAGUAAGUCACAAAGCGAAAGACACAUAUCCUAUGAUAUCACUUAUAGGUGUUACCUAAAGAUUGAUACCAAUGAAGACAUUUCCACAGAGAAAGGCAAUCACAGAUUCAUUAAACAAGCAUAUGGUUAACCAAAUGGAAAGGUGUGAGGAUUGGAUAAAUUAGGAUAUUGGGGUUAACAGAGAUAUACAAACACAUGUGAAAUAUAUAAUCACCAAAGACCUACGGAAUACCAAGAGAAGACUACUCAACAUUGUGUCAUAACCUACAUGGGAAGUGGAUCCGAAGAUGAAUAGAUAUAUGUAUAUGUGUAAAAGAACCACAUCUUGCACACCUAGAACAAACAAAACAUUGUAAUCAAAUUUGCUGUGAUAAAAGAUAAAAAUUAAAUUUAAAAAAUGACAAGAAGUAAUGAGACAUAAACUUAUGGGGGUUUUUCCUAGCACAUUCCAUUCUAAUUUACAACCUAGGAACACGACUUCCAGGAAGGCUCUGUUGCCCUAGGAACCAGAUUUGGGAAUGGAGAAAUGCUGCAGCCUUGUGGCUGUUUCUUGCAACAACAGCUUUAAGCCCAGUGCUAAUGGUCACUUAACACUCACAAUAAAUAAUUGCAGGUCUGUAAAUGACACCUGCCCUCAAAAAAAAUCCUGGGGUCAAAAAUCGACCUAGAAAUUCAAAAGAGGGCAACCCUCUAAGAAGACAAUUUCUUCUUGUAGAUGCAUAUUUUACUCACAUUUUUUCUUUUCUUUUUUUUUGUUGUUUAACAAAAAAGGGGCAUGGAAAAAUGCUCAACAUCAGGAGUAAAUAAAGACAUGCAAAUCCAAUCUACAAAAACGUUCACCUCACAUCACUCAGAAUGAUCAUGAGCAAAGAAUCUACAAACAGUAAAUGCUGAAGGGGUUUUAGAGAACUGUGUACCCUAGCUGCUGGUGGGAUGUAAUCUGCUAACAGCCAGCAGUGAGAACAGAAUGGAGGUGCGUUUAAAGGUAAAAAUUGAGCUACCAUAUGAUCUGGUAGGCCCACUGCUGGGCUUAUCACCUGAGAAGACCAGAAUCAAAAAGACACAGGCUGGCCAUCCUGCACUGCAGAAAUAUUUACCAUAGCCAAGACUUGGAUGCAACCAAAAUGUCCAUCAACAGAUGAAUGCACAAAGAAGAAGUGGUCCAUGUACACAAUGGAAUAUUAGCCAUGCAAAAGCAUGAAACAGUGCCAUUUGCACCACCAUAGAAGGACCUAGAGAUAAUCACACAACUUGAAGUAGGAAAGAAACCGAAAGACAGAUAUCCUAUGAUAUCACUUUAUAGGUGUUACCUAAAAAUUGAUACCCAUGAACUUAUUUCCAAGAGAAGGACACUCAUGGAUUAAGAAAACAAAAUUAUGUUUAACCAUAUGGAAAGGUGUGAGGAAUGGAUAAAUUAGGAUAUGGGGGUUGACAGACAUAUACUAAUACAUAUGAAAUAUAUAAUCACCAAAGACCUAUGGAAUUACCAAGAGAGGUCUGCUCAACACUCUGUAAUAACCUACAUGGGAAAGGAUCCAAAGAUGAAUAGAUAGAUACAUAAUGAACCAGAUUCUGUACACCUAGAACAAACAACAUUUUUAUCAAAUUUGCUCUGAUACAAAAUAAAAAUUAAAUUUAAAAAACAAACAAGAAAUAAGGAGAUGUAAGCUCUUGGGGGUUUGCCCUGGCACAUUCCAGUCUAAUUUGCAGCCUACUAACACGAUUUCCAGGAAGGCUCUGUUGCCCAAGUACCCAGAGUUUGAAAGGUAGAAAUGCUGCCGCCUUGUGGCCGUUUCCCGCAAGAGCGGCUUUAAACCCACAGCUAAUGGUCACUUAAUAUUCACAAGGACUCAGGGCUGUAAAGGACACCUGCCCUCAAAAAACGUCCUGAGGUAGGGAAAGGCCAAAAAAAUUCAAAACAGAGCAAAUUUUUCAAGAAGAGAGUAUGAAGAGGUAAGUUUUACUCACUCUUUUUUUAAAAAAAAAAGGAAAAUGGAUAAAAGCUCAACAUCAGGAAUUAUUAGACUCAUGGAAAUCUAAUCUACAAAAAGGUUUCAAGUCACAACAGUCGAAUGACCAUCAUCAAAAAGUCUACUAACAAUAAAUGCUGAAGGGGAUUUAGAGAACUGUGUACCCUCUAGCUGCUGGUGAGAUGUAAAGUGGUAACAGCCAAUAAUGAGAACAGAAAGGACCUGCGUUUAAAAGUAAAUACUGAGCUACCAUUCGAUACAGCAGGCCACCGCUGGCCCUAUCACCUGAGAAGACCAGAAUCGAGAAGACGCAGGCUGGCAAAGCUGCACUGAAGCCAUAUUCAUGAUAGCUAAGACAAUGAAGCAACCAAAACGUCCAUCAGCAGAUGAAUGGACAAAGAAGAAGUGGUCCAUGUACACAGUGGAAUACUAGCCAUGGAAAAGAAUGAAACACUGCUCUUUGCAGCAGCACAGAUGAGCCUAGAGAUAGUCACAGAACAUGAGGACAUGAAAACAUGUUCAACAUCAAGAAUUAUUAGAGACAUGCAAAUUUAAACUACAAAAAGGUAUCACCUCACACUAGUCUGAAUGGCCAUCAGAAAAAAAUGUCUGCAAACCAUAAAUGCUGAAUGGGUUUCCGAGAAUGGGUACCCUCCUAUGCUGUUGCUGGGAUGUAAACUGGUAACAGCCACUAAUUAGAACAGAAUGAAGAUGCCUUUAAAGGGUAACAAUUGAGCUACCAUAUGAUCCUGCUGAAACACUAAUGGGCCUAUAACCCGAGAAGACCAGAAUUCAGAAAGACGCAGGCACCCAAACGUGAACUGCAGCGAUAUUUACAAUAGCCAGACAUGGAUGCAACCAAAAUGUACAUCUACAAAUGAAUGGACAAAGAAGAAGUGGUACGUACACAAUGGAAUAUUAGCCAUGGAAAAGAUGAAACGAUGCCUUUUGCAGCACCACAGAUGAGCCUAGAGAUAAGCAUACUAUGUAAAGGAAGUCAGAAAGAGAAAGACAAAUAUCCGAUGAUAUCAUUUACUGGUGUUAUCUAAAAAUUGAUACCCAUGAACAUAUUCCCACAGAGAAAGACCCAUACAGACUUAGAAAAAGGUGAAAGGAAUGGAAAAAUUAGGACGUUGGGGUUAACAUACAUUUAAUAAUACAUAUAAAAUAUAUAAUCAAGAAGGACCUACUGGAUGCCAAGGGAGGUCUACUCAACACUCUAAUGACCAACAUGGGAAAGAAUCUAAACCUGAUUAGAUAUAUGUAUACGUAUGAAUGAACCAGAUUCUGUACACCUAGAACAAACACAACAUUGUAACCAAAUUUACUCUGAUAAGAAAUAAAAAUUAAAGUAAACAAGAA